rnacentral:rRNA from 1 species
AUACGGAGGGUCCGAGCGUUAUCCGGAAUCAUUGGGUUUAAAGGGUCCGUAGGCGGGAAUCUAAGUCAGUGGUGAAAUCUUGCAGCUCAACUGUAAAAUUGCCAUUGAUACUGGAUUUCUUGAAUUAGUGUGAAGUGGUUAGAAUGUGUAGUGUAGCGGUGAAAUGCAUAGAUAUUACACAGAAUACCGAUUGCGAAGGCAGAUCACUAACACUAUAUUGACGCUGAGGGACGAAAGCGUGGGGAGCGAACAGGAUUAGAAACCCCGGUAGUCC